UAGCUUCGGUCCCGCCUAACCCCAAGGGG
rnacentral:sRNA from 1 species